UACGUAGGGUGCAGGCGUUAAUCGGAAUUACUGGGCGUAAAGCGUGCGCAGGCGGUUUGCUAAGACAGGUGUGAAAUCCCCGAGCUUAACUUGGGAACUGCCAUUGAUACUAUCAGUCUUGAAUACCGUGGAGGUCAGCGGAAUAUGUCAUGUAGCGGUGAAAUGCUUAGAUAUCGUCAAGAACACCUAUAGCGAAGGCAGCUUACUAGGCUGUAACUGACGCUGAGGCACGAAAGUGUGGGGAUCAAACAGG
rnacentral:rRNA from 1 species